UACAGAGGGGCGAGCGUUAUUCGGAAUUAUUGGGCGUAAAGGGCGCGUAGGCGGCUUGACAAGUCCAAGGUGAAAUCCCUCGGCUCAACCGAGGAACUGCCUUGGAAACUGUCUGGCUUGAGGCCGGGAGAGGGUAGUGGAAUUCCAGUGUAGCGGUGAAAUGCGUAGAUAUCAGGAGGAACACCAACGGCGAAGGCAGCCCGCUGGGACGGUACUGACGCUAAGGCGCGAAAGCGUGGGGAGCGAACAGG
rnacentral:rRNA from 1 species